GGUUAAGCGACUAAGCGUACACGGUGGAUGCCCUGGCAGUCAGAGGCGAUGAAGGACGUGCUAAUCUGCGAUAAGCGUCGGUGAGGUGAUAUGAACCGUUAUAACCGGCGAUUUCCGAAUGGGGAAACCCAGUGUGAUUCGUCACACUAUCAUUAACUGAAUCCAUAGGUUAAUGAGGCGAACCGGGGGAACUGAAACAUCUAAGUACCCCGAGGAAAAGAAAUCAACCGAGAUUCCCCCAGUAGCGGCGAGCGAACGGGGAGGAGCCCAGAGCCUGAAUCAGUGUGUGUGUUAGUGGAAGCGUCUGGAAAGGCGCGCGAUACAGGGUGACAGCCCCGUACACAAAAAUGCACAUAUUGUGAGCUCGAUGAGUAGGGCGGGACACGUGGUAUCCUGUCUGAAUAUGGGGGGACCAUCCUCCAAGGCUAAAUACUCCUGACUGACCGAUAGUGAACCAGUACCGUGAGGGAAAGGCGAAAAGAACCCCGGCGAGGGGAGUGAAAAAGAACCUGAAACCGUGUACGUACAAGCAGUGGGAGCCUCUUAAUGGGGUGACUGCGUACCUUUUGUAUAAUGGGUCAGCGACUUAUAUUCUGUAGCAAGGUUAACCGAAUAGGGGAGCCGAAGGGAAACCGAGUCUUAACUGGGCGUUAAGUUGCAGGGUAUAGACCCGAAACCCGGUGAUCUAGCCAUGGGCAGGUUGAAGGUUGGGUAACACUAACUGGAGGACCGAACCGACUAAUGUUGAAAAAUUAGCGGAUGACUUGUGGCUGGGGGUGAAAGGCCAAUCAAACCGGGAGAUAGCUGGUUCUCCCCGAAAGCUAUUUAGGUAGCGCCUCGUGAAUUCAUCUCCGGGGGUAGAGCACUGUUUCGGCAAGGGGGUCAUCCCGACUUACCAACCCGAUGCAAACUGCGAAUACCGGAGAAUGUUAUCACGGGAGACACACGGCGGGUGCUAACGUCCGUCGUGAAGAGGGAAACAACCCAGACCGCCAGCUAAGGUCCCAAAGUCAUGGUUAAGUGGGAAACGAUGUGGGAAGGCCCAGACAGCCAGGAUGUUGGCUUAGAAGCAGCCAUCAUUUAAAGAAAGCGUAAUAGCUCACUGGUCGAGUCGGCCUGCGCGGAAGAUGUAACGGGGCUAAACCAUGCACCGAAGCUGCGGCAGCGACACUAUGUGUUGUUGGGUAGGGGAGCGUUCUGUAAGCCUGUGAAGGUGUACUGUGAGGUAUGCUGGAGGUAUCAGAAGUGCGAAUGCUGACAUAAGUAACGAUAAAGCGGGUGAAAAGCCCGCUCGCCGGAAGACCAAGGGUUCCUGUCCAACGUUAAUCGGGGCAGGGUGAGUCGACCCCUAAGGCGAGGCCGAAAGGCGUAGUCGAUGGGAAACAGGUUAAUAUUCCUGUACUUGGUGUUACUGCGAAGGGGGACGGAGAAGGCUAUGUUGGCCGGGCGACGGUUGUCCCGGUUUAAGCGUGUAGGCUGGUUUUCCAGGCAAAUCCGGAAAAUCAAGGCUGAGGCGUGAUGACGAGGCACUACGGUGCUGAAGCGACAAAUGCCCUGCUUCCAGGAAAAGCCUCUAAGCAUCAGGUAACAUCAAAUCGUACCCCAAACCGACACAGGUGGUCAGGUAGAGAAUACCAAGGCGCUUGAGAGAACUCGGGUGAAGGAACUAGGCAAAAUGGUGCCGUAACUUCGGGAGAAGGCACGCUGAUAUGUAGGUGAAGCGACUUGCUCGUGGAGCUGAAAUCAGUCGAAGAUACCAGCUGGCUGCAACUGUUUAUUAAAAACACAGCACUGUGCAAACACGAAAGUGGACGUAUACGGUGUGACGCCUGCCCGGUGCCGGAAGGUUAAUUGAUGGGGUUAGCGGUAACGCGAAGCUCUUGAUCGAAGCCCCGGUAAACGGCGGCCGUAACUAUAACGGUCCUAAGGUAGCGAAAUUCCUUGUCGGGUAAGUUCCGACCUGCACGAAUGGCGUAAUGAUGGCCAGGCUGUCUCCACCCGAGACUCAGUGAAAUUGAACUCGCUGUGAAGAUGCAGUGUACCCGCGGCAAGACGGAAAGACCCCGUGAACCUUUACUAUUGAGCUUGACACUGAACAUUGAGCCUUGAUGUGUAGGAUAGGUGGGAGGCUUUGAAGUGUGGACGCCAGUCUGCAUGGAGCCGACCUUGAAAUACCACCCUUUAAUGUUUGAUGUUCUAACGUGGGCCCCUUACCGGGGUUGCGGACAGUGUCUGGUGGGUAGUUUGACUGGGGCGGUCUCCUCCUAAAGAGUAACGGAGGAGCACGAAGGUUGGCUAAUCCUGGUCGGACAUCAGGAGGUUAGUGCAAUGGCAUAAGCCAGCUUGACUGCGAGCGUGACGGCGCGAGCAGGUGCGAAAGCAGGUCAUAGUGAUCCGGUGGUUCUGAAUGGAAGGGCCAUCGCUCAACGGAUAAAAGGUACUCCGGGGAUAACAGGCUGAUACCGCCCAAGAGUUCAUAUCGACGGCGGUGUUUGGCACCUCGAUGUCGGCUCAUCACAUCCUGGGGCUGAAGUAGGUCCCAAGGGUAUGGCUGUUCGCCAUUUAAAGUGGUACGCGAGCUGGGUUUAGAACGUCGUGAGACAGUUCGGUCCCUAUCUGCCGUGGGCGCUGGAGAACUGAGGGGGCUGCUCCUAGUACGAGAGGACCGGAGUGGACGCAUCACUGGUGUUCGGGUUGUCAUGCCAAUGGCACUGCCCGGUAGCUAAAUGCGGAAGAGAUAAGUGCUGAAAGCAUCUAAGCACGAAACUUGCCCCGAGAUGAGUUCUCCCUGACUCCUUGAGAGUCCUGAAGGAACGUUGAAGACGACGACGUUGAUAGGCCGGGUGUGUAAGCGCAGCGAUGCGUUGAGCUAACCGGUACUAAUGAACCGUGAGGCUUAACCUU
rnacentral:rRNA from 1 species